AGGUGCACAGUGCAAGCCGUCCAUGGAUCUACCAUUCUGGGGUCUAAAGAACGGUGGCCCUCUUCUCACUGCUCCACUAGAUGGUGCCCCAGUAGGGACUCUGUUUGGGGGCUCCAAUCUCACAUUUCCCUUUCACACUGCCCUAGCAGAGGUUCUCCAUGAGGGACCCACCCCUACAGCAAACUUCUACAUCUUCUGAUAUCUAGGCGGAGUUUCCCAAACCUCAAUUCUUGACUUCUGUGCACCCACAGGCUCAAAGCCAUGUGGAAGCUGCCAAGUCUUGGGGCUUGCACCCUCUGAAGCAACAGACA
rnacentral:lncRNA from 1 species